rnacentral:rRNA from 1 species
GAUGAACGCUGGCGGCGUGCCUAAUACAUGCAAGUCGAGCGAACGGACGAGAAGCUUGCUUCUCUGAUGUUAGCGGCGGACGGGUGAGUAACACGUGGAUAACCUCCCUAUAAGACUGGGAUAACUUCGGGAAACCGUAGCUAAUACCGGAUAAUAUUUUGAACCGCAUGGUUCAAAAGUGAAAGACGGUCUUGCUGUCACUUAUAGAUGGAUCCGCGCUGCAUUAGCUAGUUGGUAAGGUAACGGCUUACCAAGGCAACGAUGCAUAGCCGACCUGAGAGGGUGAUCGGCCACACUGGAACUGAGACACGGUCCAGACUCCUACGGGAGGCAGCAGUAGGGAAUCUUCCGCAAUGGGCGAAAGCCUGACGGAGCAACGCCGCGUGAGUGAUGAAGGUCUUCGGAUCGUAAAACUCUGUUAUUAGGGAAGAACAUAUGUGUAAGUAACUGUGCACAUCUUGACGGUACCUAAUCAGAAAGCCACGGCUAACUACGUG